rnacentral:rRNA from 1 species
UCCAGAGGGUGCAAGCGUUAUUCGGAUUUAUUGGGCGUAAAGAGCGCGUAGGCGGUUUAAUCAGUCUGGUGUGAAAUCCCUGGGCUCAAUCCGGGAAGUGCAUUGGAUACUGUUAAGCUAGAGUACAGGAGAGGUAGGCGGAAUUCCUGGUGUAGAGGUGAAAUUCGUAGAUAUCAGGAGGAACAACAGUGGCGAAGGCGGCUUACUGGACUGUAACUGACGCUGAGGCGCGAAAGCGUGGGGAGCACACAGG